rnacentral:rRNA from 1 species
AGAGUUUGAUCAUGGCUCAGGACGAACGCUGGCGGCGUGCUUAACACAUGCAAGUCGAGCGAGGCCCACACCUUCGGGUGUGGUGCCCUAGCGGCGAACGGGUGAGUAACACGUGGGCAACCUGCCCCUAGCACUGGGAUAAGCCCGGGAAACCGGGUCUAAUACCGGAUAUGACGUCGGAGGGCAUCCUCCGGCGUGGAAAGGAUUCUGGCUAGGGAUGGGCCCGCGGCCUAUCAGCUUGUUGGUGGGGUGAUGGCCCACCAAGGCGACGACGGGUAGCCGGCCUGAGAGGGCGACCGGCCACACUGGGACUGAGACACGGCCCAGACUCCUACGGGAGGCAGCAGUGGGGAAUAUUGCACAAUGGGCGAAAGCCUGAUGCAGCGACGCCGCGUGAGGGAUGACGGCCUUCGGGUUGUAAACCUCUUUCAGCUCCGACGAAGCGAAAGUGACGGUAGGGGCAGAAGAAGCACCGGCCAACUACGUGCCAGCAGCCGCGGUAAUACGUAGGGUGCAAGCGUUGUCCGGAAUUAUUGGGCGUAAAGAGCUCGUAGGCGGCUUGUCGCGUCGGCUGUGAAAACCUGGGGCUCAACCCCGGGCCUGCAGCCGAUACGGGCAAGCUAGAAUUCGGUAGGGGAGACUGGAAUUCCUGGUGUAGCGGUGAAAUGCGCAGAUAUCAGGAGGAACACCGGUGGCGAAGGCGGGUCUCUGGGCCGAGAUUGACGCUGAGGAGCGAAAGCGUGGGGAGCAAACAGGAUUAGAUACCCCCGUAGUCC